AUGACAUUCUGAUAGAAGCAGAGUGUAUCUCCCUAAGCCAGGGAACCAGUCUAUCAGACACAGCUUUUAAUUCAACCGGUGAGACAUCUUCAGGGCCUGGCGAUUUAAAGGAGCCGGAACUUCUUAUCAGGACAUGCUGAAACAACCGAGGGGCCACUUCUGCAGUAUUUUCUCCAUGGCUGAAACUAAUAUAACGAUGAUCAGAGAAGCUGUGAUCACCUAACACAUGCCAGUCGCUGCUUGCAUCUUCCGAUACACUUACAUCUUCCGAUACAAAGUAUACAGUCACCAUAGCGGAUAAUCUCCAGUGCUGUUCAUAGAUUAGCAUGCUUGUCUACAGAGCCGAACGCCUGGUUUCAAAUUCCC